rnacentral:rRNA from 1 species
GACGAACGCUGGCGGCGUGCUUAACACAUGCAAGUCGAACGAAAAGAGGGAAAGAGCUUGCUCUUUCCGGAAUUGAGUGGCAAACGGGUGAGUAACACGUAAACAACCUGCCUUCAGGAUGGGGACAACAGACGGAAACGACUGCUAAUACCGAGUAAGUUCCAAGGGCCGCAUGGCCCAUGGAAGAAAAGGUGGCCUCUACCUGUAAGCUAUCGCCUGAAGAGGGGUUUGCGUCUGAUUAGCUGGUUGGAGGGGUAACGGCCCACCAAGGCGACGAUCAGUAGCCGGUCUGAGAGGAUGAACGGCCACACUGGAACUGAGACACGGUCCAGACUCCUACGGGAGGCAGCAGUGGGGAAUCUUCCGCAAUGGGCGAAAGCCUGACGGAGCAACGCCGCGUGAGUGAUGACGGCCUUCGGGUUGUAAAACUCUGUGAUCCGGGACGAAAAGGCAGAGUGCGAAGAACAAACUGCAUUGACGGUACCGGAAAAGCAAGCCACGGCUAACUACGUG